rnacentral:rRNA from 1 species
UCAUAAUCAGUGAAAACGAGUAGGGCGGGACACGUGAUAUCCUGUCUGAAUAUGGGGGGACCAUCCUCCAAGGCUAAAUACUACUGACUGACCGAUAGUGAACCAGUACCGUGAGGGAAAGGCGAAAAGAACCCCUGUGAGGGGAGUGAAAUAGAACCUGAAACCGUGUACGUACAAGCAGUAGGAGCACCUUCGUGGUGUGACUGCGUACCUUUUGUAUAAUGGGUCAGCGACUUAAUUUUAGUAGCAAGGUUAACCGUUUAGGGGAGCCGUAGGGAAACCGAGUCUUAA